GAAAAGAAUCAAUUCAUUUCGGAGGAAGAUCUGGACUUAAAAAAAAUCAAUUUUGUUAUAACUGAACAAAAAUAUUAUAAUAUAAAAUAUAAGACUAAUUUAAAAAGAAGGGGUUUACGAGAAAGGCCGAUAAGAAAAACUCAAUAUAUGUUACAAUUACAAUAUUUUUAUAUAUCUUUGAUGACGGUUUGAUGGUAACAACAGCAUAUCGGCGGCGCCUGAUGUCGGUGGUGACGACGACCACGAUGACGAUAACAUCGAUGACGCCUCAUAUUUUCAGAAUACGCGCGACUGACGCGGCGAUGGCAACAGCAGUAGCAACAGCAGCAAUAAUCUUAAUAACAAUAACAGCAACAGCAACGAUGACAAUAAUAUAAUGAUAGUAUUGUGUAAGUAACAAUUAUAGCAGUAUAUAAUAGACAUGACGAUAAUGAUGAUAAUAAUAUUUUUACUAAUGAGAAUAGAGUGAUCAUUCCAAAGUUCCGGAUGCAACGCUUUAGAGAGAUUUUUUCUUUUUAUUUGAAUAAACUUGAUGAUGAGUGGCAACUAUCUAAUCUAGGAAAAUAAAUCUUAUUUUUUUUAAAUUAUAAUUUUAUUAUAAAAUUCUGACAGAAGAUAAAUCAAUAUUAAUAUCAUACUUAUUUCUGUUUUUUGAAAGAAAAUAAUAAAAAGCAUUAUUUUGAAUUAUUGAUAUGAAAUUAUUGGUCAAAACUAUUAGAAUAAUUAGAUAAAAGAUAUUUCCGUAGAAAAAAUUAUAUCUUCGGUUUAUUCUAGUAAAGUAUAAAAUCCGGCAUCAUGGAAUGACCCCGAUAUCUUGUGCUGAUACUAUGCUUCUAACAUGUAUGAACGAGCAAGAUGACUCCGAACUUUUGGAAUCAGGAAAAAUUUUUUGUAAAAAAUGUUAGCAGAAAAUUGAAACAAAAUUCGUCUUGAUUAUUAUUAAGAUGCAGAAAUUCGUAACGUCAUAAUACGUUUACUCGUAUAAAAUUCAAAUUGAAUUUUAUAAAGAUAUAUAAAAAAGAUUUUUUUUUAUUGUAAAGAUAUAAAUUUAAAAUGAAUUAGAGAUUUCCAUUAAAAAUUAUCCGCACAUUGUAGUAUAUAAAUGAAAUGUCUACAGAAUUUACUCUACAAUAAUCAUCUUCUUCCAAAAGCAUUCAAAAAGUUCGGAGAACACUUGCAGACUCGGAUAUUGUCGUCAUCGUAGAUGCGGUCACCACCGCCAACGUCUUCAAGCGUCGUCAUCGCGAGCGCAGUUAGUAAUUACUAAUUAUCGCUUUCUUCGCUUUUUUUCCCUUCAGUUUCGCAUUUAUCACACUUAAAAUAAACGGGGUGUUUGAGGAAUGUGCGCGGAUGCAGAGUCAGCGAUGCAUUGCGAUGAAUCUCUCUGAAUCAGCAAGAGCUCAGGAAAGAGGAAAGAGUGGAAGGACUAUACGCGACGCGCGCGUUCACUGUCGCUUAUUACAUUGAUGAUGGAUAAAAAAUUUCGUAGAAUUGAAUGAAUCGUGAAAUAAAUACAGGAAUAAAAGGGAUUCGUGAAAGAAUUUCCAGUGAUUCCCAAGAGAUCGAGUAUUGGCUAUUAUUAUAAUUUUUUGUGCUUCACUAUUUGCAUCUGCGAAAAUACAGUUGCUUAAAAUUAAACAUUACACCAAUAUAUUUCCUUUUAAAAGAUGUCAAAAAAAAUACACUAAUAUAAAGAUGUGCUUAAUUUUCUUUGUUAAAAAAUAAAACAGAGAAGGGAGAAAAAAGUAAAGAAGAAAGUAGAAAACGAAUACAAAAAAGAAAAUAGUAGAAAAAGAUUUAGAAGGAAUGAAGAUAAACACAAUGAGAAAAAUGGUUGUGAAGAGAAAUUGUUGAAACACACACAAUUACGAAAUGUCUCCUGUGAUAAUAAAAACAUUAUCAGAGAAUCACUGGAUUAAGAAGGAUAUGUGUUCCGAUGAGCCUAGUUUUGCGAGAAUAAUAUCGAUACUAUGAAGCACAAGUUUUUCAUCAAAAUGGUGUGGAACUGCAAGUGCGUAUAUGCACGAGACUUUGUCUAAUAUAUAUGCGUAUGUUUAUAUGUUUGCGUGUAUGUGUAUGCGCGCCUCGCAACGAUAUAUACUAACAUACAAGCCACUGACUCCGCUCACUUUCAGUAACACUAAGUAAAUGCUAUGGCAUCAUGAUAAUCACCGAAGGUGUCCUUAUAUCAAAAUCGUUAGAUAAUAAUUAUAUAUAUACAUAUAUAUAUAUAUGUAUACAUAUGUAUACAUAUGCAUAUAUACAUAUAUAUACACACGAACGAUUAGCGCGCGCCUGUUUCGCUUGAUACUCGGAUAUGGUCAAUUCGUACAUGUUUUCACCGUGUUCACCGUUGAAUCCCUUAAUCUCGCUUCUCUAUCUACUUGAAAAGAAAGUGCAAUAAAAAAAGAACAAAGCAAGUAGCUGGAACAAACCUAAGAUAUCCGUAUCUCACAUUCAUUUUUCCAACUUAUUUAUCUCAUAUGUAAGAUUAUAAAGUAUAAAGUUAAUCCGGAUAACUAUAAUUAUUAAGAAAUAAUUAUUAAUUUUAUUAUUAAGAAAAAUGUUACGAUAUCAGAUUUAGUAUCGCAUUUAUUAAUUAUGUUAUCUCCAAAGACAAUAAAGUGUCAAAUGUGAGAUACAAAUACAAACUUUAGUACGCUUGAGUGAGUCAUUAUUGAAAAUCACUUCCAAUUUUUCUCUCAUAGAAAAGUAUAGUCAAAAAUGGUUUUUAAGGCAUGAGAACCAAUUGCAGAAAACAAUAUUUAUAGAUUUCACAUUAUAAAAUAGAUAAUUAAGAUUUUCGCAAUUUUGUGAGCAGUAUGACCGCUUUUUAAUCUGAUAUAAAUAAAUUAUAAGAACAAUUUAUAAAUAAUCAAUAGCUAUCGGAUAGAAGAAUAUGUUUUUGCAAUCGGUUCAAAAACUAUUCAACCUUAACUGAUAUGAUGGAAUUCUGUAUAAUGUGAUAUGAGACUAUAUAUUAAUUUCUUUGUUUUAUGCAAGUUUAAGCCACUGACGUAUCGAGUGCCCACAACAUAUCAAUCAGUACAAAUUUCAUCAUUAACAAAAACUUUUUCACUUUUGUUCUUUCCAUGUAAGACAAGUCUAAUUUUUUCGAAUAUAUAUAUCUUAAUAUAUCUUUUUUGCUCAGUUCUAGGAACAUCCGAAUGGGUGAUUCGUUUUUGCCAUAUCCGUUAAGGGAUUAUAUGUACAUUAAGCUUGACGCAUCGACGGUGACCGCGGGGCAUUCGUAAGAUACGUAUUAUCAUCGGGCGAAAGGCAACGUACAUCGCAUUGAUUAAUAUUUUAUAUAUUUAUCUAUAUAUAUAUAUAUACGUAUUGUAAUUAUGCUAUAAGACUAGAUUCUCGGCGGAAUACAUCUCUCAUACUCUCACAUUGUUCCGACUCUUCCUCAAUGUUUGCCUCAAUGUUAACCAUAUAAUUCUAUCCACUUCGCUGUGUUUUACGACAAUGAGGCGCCGUCAAUUGUUUAUUCGCCGAACGCCGUUCGCCGCCGAUGGAUUAAAUCACUAUUGUCCCACGCGAUGUGCUGACACAUAACUUACAGAGUUACAUACAUACUUAGACACCGUAGUCCUUAGAUACGUACAUAGCUAUAGAUAUUCCUGGCUGAUCCUUGGAAUAGGUCGUUCACACUUAAAUUGUCUUUGCUUUGUUUCAUUCAAUCGCUUCACGAUGAUCAGUUUUAUUAUGGAAAACAACGGAACUAUGAAUGAAUUUGUAAUUAUUCUAGUAGAUCAGGAAGAACAAGC